AAGAAAGAGCAAAAGACAGAAAAAUAACACGAAAACUAAGGAAAAAAAUGUUGCUCUCUGGAUCGGGCGCAGCGUGGAAUGCGAACCCUAACAAGUCUUAUGUGGGGCCAGAAUAUUUUCUAAAUUGUUGCAUUUUUGUUGCUUAGCAAGUCUUAUGAGAGGGUUGAGUUUACAGAAAUAAAUAGCCCUAUGCGAGGUCACACAGCAGAAAAUGUGAACCCUAACAAGUCUUUGAGAGGGCUGAGUUUACAGAAAUAAGUUGUGCUUUCUUGGAUCGGCGCAGUGGGGAAUGUGAACCCUAACAAGUUUUAUGAGUGGGUGCGGGCGAUUGCAGUGGGUGCAACAUCUGCCUCAAAGUAGGGAGCUACUGGACCAUUUGCCUGUGCGGUCAAAAGAUAUCCUGCAUGAGCUUAACUUUAAAAAUAUGACACUGUCCGGGAUUGCAACGUGGUAAAUGUUAGGUUCGGGAAAUUAUGACAGGCAACAGUGAGGCGAAGGCCGCCAUACGCCAUGACCAACUGGUUCUGUGCUCUACUUGGAAGGAUGAUGGCUCCAAGUGUUCACCGGAGGAUGUGAUGAGAAUGUCAAAAUGUGGCCCUUGAUAUGUGGUCGCCAGCCUAUGUCAUGCACCUGUCAAUGAAGUUACUUGGAUUGAACAGUUGAGUUACCUCGCCACAGGAAACUGUGAUAAGUG